CAGUCGCCGCGGGAAAACGAAGGGGGCUAGCGUUGUUCGGAAUUACUGGGCGUAAAGGGCGCGUAGGCGGCCAUUCAAGUUAGAUGUGAAAGCCCUGGGCUCAACCUAGGAAUUGCAUUUGAUACUGUUUGGCUUGAGUUCGGAAGAGGUGAGUGGAAUUCCCAGUGUAGAGGUGAAAUUCGUAGAUAUUGGGAAGAACACCAGUGGCGAAGGCGGCUCACUGGACCGACACUGGCGCUGAGGCGCGAAAGCGUGGUGAGCAAACAGGAUUAGAUACCCCAGUAGUCCCUGUCUCUUAUAC
rnacentral:rRNA from 1 species